rnacentral:rRNA from 1 species
GACGAAUGCUGGCGGCGUGCCUAACACAUGCAAGUCGAACGGGGUUAUUUCUUCGGAGAUAACUUAGUGGCGAACGGGUGAGUAACGCGUGAGAAACCUGCCUUUCAGUGGGGGACAACAGUUGGAAACGACUGCUAAUACAGCAUAAUGUCAUUUGGGGGAAUCCCUGAAUGACCAAAGCUUAAUGUGCUGAAAGAUGGUCUCGCGUCUGAUUAGCUAGUUGGUGAGGUAACGGCUCACCAAGGCGACGAUCAGUAGCCGGUCUGAGAGGAUGAACGGCCACAUUGGGACUGAGAUACGGCCCAGACUCCUACGGGAGGCAGCAGUGGGGAAUAUUGGGCAAUGGGGGAAACCCUGACCCAGCAACGCCGCGUGAAGGAAGAAGGCCUUCGGGUUGUAAACUUCUUUUACCAGGGACGAAUCAAUGACGGUACCUGGAGAAAAAGCAACGGCUAACUACGUGCCAGCCGCCGCAGUAAUAC